rnacentral:rRNA from 1 species
AACGCUGGCGGCAUGCCUAACACAUGCAAGUCGAACGCUAUUUAUAGAGUGGCGCACGGGUGAGUAACGCGUGGGAACCUGCCUUUUUCUGCGGGAUAACGGUUGGAAACGACCGCUAAUACCGCAUACGCCCUACGGGGGAAAGGUCCGCCGGAGAAAGAGGGGCCCGCGUCUGAUUAGCUAGUUGGUAGGGUAACGGCCUACCAAGGCGACGAUCAGUAGCUGGUCUGAGAGGAUGAUCAGCCACACUGGGACUGAGACACGGCCCAGACUCCUACGGGAGGCAGCAGUGGGGAAUAUUGGACAAUGGGGGCAACCCUGAUCCAGCAAUGCCGCGUGUGUGAUGAAGGCCUUAGGGUUGUAAAGCACUUUCACUGGUGAAGAUGAUGACGGUAACCAGAGAAGAAG